GACGUAGGGCGCGAGCGUUGUCCGGAUUUAUUGGGCGUAAAGAGCUCGUAGGCGGCUUGUCGCGUCGACUGUGAAAUCCCGCGGCUCAACCGCGGGUCUGCAGUCGAUACGGGGCAGGCUAGAGUUCGGUAGGGGAGACUGGAAUUCCUGGUGUAGCGGUGAAAUGCGCCAGAUAUCAGGAGGAACACCGAUGGCGAAGGCAGGUCUCUGGGCCGAUACUGACGCUGAGGAGCGAAAGCGUGGGAGCGAACAGG
rnacentral:rRNA from 1 species